CACGUAGUUAGCCGUGGCUUUCUGGUUAGGUACCGUCAAGGUACCGGCAGUUACUCCGGUACUUGUUCUUCCCUAACAACAGAGCUUUACGCCCCGAAGGCCUUCAUCGCUCACGCGGCGUUGCUCCGUCAGACUUUCGUCCAUUGCGGAAGAUUCCCUA
rnacentral:rRNA from 1 species